rnacentral:lncRNA from 1 species
AUGGACUGGAAGGCUGGCCCCAGAGCCCGUCUUGGUUUCGCGGCUCUGGUGCUCCUCGUGGCUCCCCGGUUCUGCACGGCGGGAGGCGACCCUCAUUCUCUUUCCUAUAAUUUCACCAUUAAUCCUCAGCCCAGAGAUGAUCAGCCAUGGUGUGAGGUUCAAGGAGAAGUUGAUCAAAAGGUCUUUCUCUCCUACGACUGUGGUACAGCUCAGAUCAUGUACAUGAGUCCAUUGGGAGAGGAAGUGAAAAAUAUGAGCACCUGGGAAACACAGACUGACACACUCAGAGACACUGGAGACUUGCUACAGGAGCAGGUGCCUGACGUUACACCGGAGAAACACACAGACAAGGGCCCUCUGACCCUGCAGGCCAGGAUGACAUGCUGGCGUGAAGACAAUGGACUCACCAAUGCAUCCUGGGAGUUUGGCUUCAAUGGACAACUGUGCCUCCUCUUUGACUCGGAGAAUGGACACUGCACAAUGGUUCAUCCUGGAGGGAGACAGAUGAAAGAGAAAUGGGAGAAUGACAGGGCUGUGACAGACUUCUUCAGGAUGGUCUCCAUGGGAGGCUGUCGGGCCUGGCUUCAGGCUUUCUUGGUGUGCUGGGAGAAAAUGCUGAAGACCUUGGGUAUAGUGAGAAGAGUAGGAGAAAGUGGUCGUCCUCUCAUGGUGACAUGGACCCACUCUGUGUGUGUGUGUGUGUUAGAAUGUGAUCUGUCAGAGAAUCUUCUUUCAUAUGUCACCAGUCCUUCUUCUGGAAAUCUGUCAAUACCGCCUCUGCUGUCAGCUCCUGAGGAGGUCACCGUCUCUGAUGUCACAGCGGGACUGAGUGGCUGUGUUGAAAACCUUGCUCCCCGUUACUUGUCAGAGCCUUCAUCACCAACCAUGGGCCCCCAUACAGUGAAGUCCACGGCCACAGCCAUCAAGCAGAUCACCUGGAUCCUCCCCGUGCUCGUCACCAGUUUUGUCAUAAUAGGCAUCAUAAUCGCUUGUAUCCAUUAGAAGAAGAG